GAUGAACGCUGGCGGCGUGCCUAAUACAUGCAAGUCGAGCGAACAGAUGAGGAGCUUGCUCCUCUGACGUUAGCGGCGGACGGGUGAGUAACACGUGGAUAACCUACCUAUAAGACUGGGAUAACUUCGGGAAACCGGAGCUAAUACCGGAUAAUAUAUUGAACCGCAUGGUUCAAUAGUGAAAGACGGUUUUGCUGUCACUUAUAGAUGGAUCCGCGCCGCAUUAGCUAGUUGGUAAGGUAACGGCUUACCAAGGCAACGAUGCGUAGCCGACCUGAGAGGGUGAUCGGCCACACUGGAACUGAGACACGGUCCAGACUCCUACGGGAGGCAGCAGUAGGGAAUCUGCCGCAAUGGGCGAAAGCCUGACGGAGCAACGCCGCGUGAGUGAUGAAGGUCUUCGGAUCGUAAAACUCUGUUAUUAGGGAAGAACAAAUGUGUAAGUAACUAUGCACGUCUGGACGGUACCUAAUCAGAAAGCCACGGCUAACUACGU
rnacentral:rRNA from 1 species